GUGCCAGCAGGCGCGUAAACCGAGGGGCAAGCGUUAAUCGGAUUUACUGGGGGUAAAGCGCGGUAGUGGGUAAUAAGUCAAAUGUGAAAUUCCCGAGAUAACUUGGGAAUUGCAUUCGAUAUUGGUUAGCUAGAGUAUGGGAGAGGAUGGUAGAAUUCCAGGUGUAGCGGUGAAAUGCGUAGAGAUCUGGAGGAAUACCGAUGGCGAAGGCAGCCAUCUGGCCUAAUACUGACACUGAGGUGCGAAAGCAUGGGGAGCAAACAGGAUUAGAUACCCUGGUAGUCC
rnacentral:rRNA from 1 species